rnacentral:sRNA from 1 species
CGCAGCCGCGGUAAUUCCAGCUCCAAUAGCGUAUAUUAAAGUUGUUGCAGUUAAAAAGCUCGUAGUUGAAUUUCGGGAUCAGUACGCUGGUCGUGCCUUCGGUAUGUACUGGUGUUACUGGUUCCUACCUUCUGACGAACCGUCAUGUCAUUAAUUUGGUGUGGCGGGGAAUCAGGACUGUUACUUUGAAAAAAUUAGAGUGUUUAAAGCAGGCUCACGCUUGAAUACAUUAGCAUGGAAUAAUGAAAUAGGACGUUUGAUCCUAUUUUGUUGGUUUCUAGGAUUGACGUAAUGAUUAAUAGGGAUAGUUGGGGGCAUUAGUAUUCAAUUGUCAGAGGUGAAAUUCUUGGAUUUAUUGAAGACUAACUACUGCGAAAGCAUUUGCCAAGGAUGUUUUCAUUAAUCAAGAACGAAAGUUAGGGGAUCGAAGACGAUCAGAUACCGUCGUAGUCUUAACCAUAAACUAUGCCGACUAGGGAUCGGAUGAUGUUAAUUUUUAAUGUACUC